GUUGAGAUGAAUCUGACUAGGAACUGUGAGGUUGUAGGUUCGAUCCCUGACCUUGCUUAGCGGGUUAAGGAUCUGGCAUUGCCAUGAGCUGUGGUGUAGGUGGCAGAUGUGGCUUGGAUCUGAUGUUGCUGUGGCUGCGGUGUAGGCCGGCCGCUGUAGCUCCUAUUCGACCUCUAAUCUAGCCUGGGAACCUCCAUAUGCUGCAGGUGGAGCCCUAAAAAGCAAAAACAAACAACAAAAAACAACGGAGACUUCACUUUAAAAAAAAAAAAAAGAUGUAAAUAAUGGAUGGAUAUAGCACGUUAAUGGAUUAGAAGACUUGGUGUCAUAAGAUGUUGACUCCUCCCCGAUUCAUCUGUGCCUGCAAUAUAGUCUCAUUCAAAAUGCCAGCAGAUUUUUUCGAUGGAACUUGCCAAACUGCUGUUAACAUGUACUUGGAGAUGUAAACAGCAAGGGAUAGCUGGAACAACUUUGAAGAACAACAAACUGAGCAGACUUACUCACUGGAUAGCAAGACUUAUUUUAAUUCUAUGGUUUCAGUAAAAGACUACCCAAGUAGGCCAGUCAGCAAAAAAGUCCAGACACAGAUCCACUCUCACCUGUCUCGCAGGAGGCUCUGCAGAAUAGCAGAGCAACAACAGUCUUCUCAAUACCUAUGUUUAGUUAAUUAGAUCUUCAUGGAGGGGUGUGACCCAUUUCACCACACAUGCAAACGAAUCCAAUCAGGAAAGUAAAACCAAAUAGUUGAAUUGAAAGAAAAAGAAAUUCUUUGGGCUGUACCCACAGCAUACAGAAUUUCCUGGGCCAGGGAUUGAACCUGUGCUGUAGCAGUGACCUGAGCUGGGUCCUUAGCCCGCUGUGCCACCACAGAACUCCAAAAGAAAACAUGUAAUAUGAACAUUUUAACUGUAACAGGGAAUUGAAGUAAUGAGAGAUUGGCUCGUCAAAAAGUGAAGAGAACUCUAAAGAUAUAAGAAUGGCAGGUGUACAGGGCGGCUGUGGCCUCUAGGCCUGAGGUGGAGCCCCAAGGAGUCCCCACUGCACCCAGGACUAAGUCCCAGGCCUCGUCCAAGGUGUGCUGUGGCUGGCUGCAUGGCAGAAUCGUCGCGUGGUGUCACUCUGGGGAACCUCUUGGAGAGCUGCCCUCUGGAAUGUGCCGUGAGCCACCCUCAGGGGAGGGGUCUCUCUGGAGGCACCCUGCUUCAGAACCACCCGAGGUGGAGUUGGCUGGGGGGACCUUCUGGGUGCUGCUGGGCCCUGUGAGCUGCAGCCUCAGAGGCCUGGGAAGCUGCAUGCCCUGCAGGAGCUGGGCAGUGGGGAAGCCGCCGGGCGGCGGGUGGUGGCCGCUGUGGAAUAACACGCCUAAGCAAGACGAUCUGGGGGGCUCUCUGCACCGAGAUGCCAAGGUGGGAGCAGUGUUUCUCCUCCCCAGGAAGAGGGUUAUGGCGUACCUCCCUCUUCCUUCAGCACUUAAUAAAUGUUGCCAAGCGUUCUCUCUCAUCCAGACAGCGUAUUUGUCACCACAUACCUAAGAGUCAGAAUCGACACUGAACUUGCCUUGGCAGAGUGUAGUCUCGGACAGCCAGCCAUUCAGCGGGUCAGCUGAGCUCCUUUCUUGGGGCACUGUUCCAGUCCCCAGGGACGGGGACCUUUAGAGUGGUGAUCAGGACACACUUUGCCUUUAAAGGGAAACAGCCAUUAAGCAGAUAACUGUAAGAAUAGGCCUGUGUUUACAAAAUGAAGGUUCGAAAGGAAAAAAUACAGUCUUCUGCAAGAGAAGAGACUAAUAUAGAUCCGAAAGCGGGGAGGGACGCUCUUAGGAAGUGGUAUUUUUAUGACCCGAGGGCCCAGGAGUAGUGGAGAGAUCAGUGGUCCUAGAGGAGUCUUGUAAGCAGAGGGGGGCUCGUGGGAAGGCGUUCAAGCUGCGAGGAGCUUAGCACCUCUCCACUGGGAGGAGCUGGGGUGGCUGGAGGGCAGGUGGACUGCAGCUGGUCUGCACCUUCUCGAAAGGGGCCGGGCUGGAAAGUGCAAGGCUGGGGCCAGGUGUGGAGCAGGGCAUUGCGGUUUGUGUCACGGGUGGGGCAGCCCCUGAGAGAUCUCUCUUAGGAGGGAGGGACCGCCGAGAGACGAGCAUUAACUCAACAGAUACUCGAGUGUCUGUGCUGGGCAGUUUUCUAAACUCUUGAAAUACAUAAAAC
rnacentral:lncRNA from 1 species